UCAUUAUGAUGACCUUAUAUUUGUGGCGAGUUUAACGUGCUUAUCAAUAAGGGCGAUUGAUCUUGAUCACUUUAAGAAUAAAUAUGAAAGAA
rnacentral:sRNA from 1 species